rnacentral:rRNA from 1 species
AGAAUUGAUCUUGGUUCAGGAUGAACGCUGGCGGCGUGCUUAACACAUGCAAGUUGUGCGGUGAUCUCAAGAAGUUUCGGACGGAAAGGGAGAGCAGCAGCGGACGGGUGAGUAAAGCACAAGGACUUGUCCCGAAGAGGGGGACAACUGUGGGAAACCACAGCUAAUACCCCAUAAGCCGAGAGGUGAAAGCAGUAAUGCGCUUUAGGAGAGACUUGUGUCCUAUCAGGUAGUUGGUGAGGUAACGGCUCACCAAGCCGAAGACGGGUAGCCGGACUGAGAGGUUGUACGGCCACAUUGGAACUGAGAGACGGUCCAGACUCCUACGGGAGGCAGCAGUGGGGAAUAUUGGGCAAUGGGGGGCAACCCCGACCCAGCGACGCCGCGUGAGGGAAGACAGCCUUCGGGUUGUAAACCUCUGUUGCAGGGGAAGAAGAAAGUGACGGUACCCUGCGAGGAAGCUCCGGCAAACUACGUGCCAGCCGCCGC